AGAGAGCCAGAGAGCCAGGGAGCUGAUCCGAAGUGAGGGAGGCGGCCCAGGGAGUCAGACCCAGCACGGGAAGGGGCCGGGCUGUCUGCUGGGGGAAGUGGGAGGGGGCCGUGGCGCCGGGAGGGAAGCGUCUGUCGCCCAGGGCACUGGAGCCACUCGGAAAGCAGACCACCCCAGCUUCCUAGCCGGCCUGGGCCACCAGGCUGCUGUGGCGUCGUGGGCAGUGAGUUCGGGAGCAAGGGGGAGCGGGGCUGCUGGGUGCCACUCAGCCAAGUCUCGCCCCCCUGAUGACGGGGAGGGUUGGGGGAACUAAGCUGGGUGCGUUGAGGGGGAACCCCUCACCACCAGCCGGGAGCCGGC